GUCCUAGCUCAUUGGUAGAGAGUCUUGCUUUGCAUGCAGAAGGUCCCUGGUUCAAUCCCCGACGACGUCUCCA